rnacentral:rRNA from 1 species
CAGCUUGUUGGUGGGGUGAUGGCCUACCAAGGCGACGACGGGUAGCCGGCCUGAGAGGGUGUCCGGCCACACUGGGACUGAGAUACGGCCCAGACUCCUACGGGAGGCAGCAGUGGGGAAUAUUGCACAAUGGGCGCAAGCCUGAUGCAGCGACGCCGCGUGGGGGAUGACGGCCUUCGGGUUGUAAACCUCUUUCAGUAGGGACGAAGCGCAAGUGACGGUACCUACAGAAGAAGCACCGGCCAUCUACGUGCCAGCGGCCGCGGUAAUACGUAGGGUGCGAGCGUUGUCCGGAAUUACUGGGCGUAAAGAGCUCGUAGGUGGUUUGUCGCGUUGUUCGUGAAAACUCACAGCUUAACUGUGGGCGUGCGGGCGAUACGGGCAGACUGGAGUACUGCAGGGGAGACUGGAAUUCCUGGUGUAGCGGUGGAAUGCGCAGAUAUCAGGAGGAACACCGGUGGCGAAGGCGGGUCUCUGGGCAGUAACUGACGCUGAGGAGCGAAAGCGUGGGGAGCGAACAGGAUUAGAUACCCUCGUAGUCCACGCCGUAAACGGUGGGUACUAGGUGUGGGUUUCCUUCCUUGGGAUCCGUGCCGUAGCUAACGCAUUAA